GCCCCUGUAGUUUAGCUUGGAUAGAACCCCGGCUUGCGGAGCCGGUGGCCCGGGUUCGAACCCCGGCAGGGGCA
rnacentral:tRNA from 1 species